GUGGCUGGGAACAUGCUGCUGCGAGCCGCUUGGAGGCGGGCGUCGUUGGCGGCUACCUGGGUGGCCCUGGAAAGGUCCUCGGUGCCCACCCGGGGACUGCGCCUACGCGUUGUAGAUCAUGCCCCCCCCCCCAAUUCGGCUGUUUCCUCAGAGGCAGUGCUGCGACCUCUCUACAUGAAUGUGCAGGCCACAGUGCUUGAUGCCAUGCUCCCAUACCUUGUCAACUACUAUGGGAACCCUCAUUCUCGGACUCAUGCAUAUGGCUGGGAGAGCGAGGCAGCCAUGGAACGUGCUCGGCAGCAAGUAGCAUCUCUGAUUGGAGCUGAUCCUCGGGAGAUCAUUUUCACUAGUGGAGCUACUGAGUCCAACAACAUGCAAUUAAGGGAGUGGCCAGGUUCUACAGGUCAAGGAAAAAACACUUGGUCACUACCCAGACAGAACACAAAUGUGUGCUGGAUUCCUGCCGCUCCCUGGAAGCUGAGGGCUUUCGGGUCACUUACCUCCCUGUGCAGAAGAGCGGGAUCAUUGACUUAAAGGAACUAGAGGCUGCCAUCCAGCCAGACACCAGCCUACUCUCCGUUAUGACUGUGAACAAAGAAAUUGGAGUAAAGCAACCGAUUGCAGAAAUAGGGCAGAUUUGCAGUUCCAGAAAGGUGUACUUCCACACUGAUGCCGCCCAAGCUGUUGGAAAAAUCCCACUUGACGUCAAUGACAUGGAGAUUGAUCUUAUGAGCAUCAGCGGUCACAAACUCUACGGGCCUAAAGGGGUUGGUGCUAUCUAUAUCCACCGUAGGCCCCGGGGUACGUGUGGAGGCCCUACAGAGUGGAGGCAGGCAGGAGCAGGGUAUGCGGUCUGGGACAGUGCCCACACCCUUGGUGGUGGGCCUGGGAGCUGCAUGUGAAUUGGCACAACAAGAGGUGGAGGACGACCAUAAGCGAUCUCAAAGUUAGCAGAACGACUGGUAUAGAAGAUAAUGAAGAACCUUCCAGAUGUGGUGAUGAAUGGGGACCCGAAGCAGCACUACCCUGGCUGUAUCAACCUCUCCUCGUAUGUGGAAGGAGAGAGCCUGCUGAUGGCCCUCAAGGAUGUGACCUUGUCCUCAGGGAGUGCCUGCACUUAUGCGUCAUUGGAGCCCUCUGAGCGCCACCUCAGAGCAAUUGGUACCGAUGAGGAUUUAGCACACUCCUCUAUCAGGUUUGGCAUCGGCCGCUUCACUACAGAAGAGGAGGUGGACUACACGGCGGAGAAGUGCAUCCACCACGUGAAGCGCCUUCGAGAAAUGAGUCCUCUCUGGGAGAUGGUCCAGGAUGGCAUUGACCUCAAGAGCAUCAAGUGGACCCAGCAUUAGAGGAGUGGGCUGUGACUUUGUGCUGG